AACAAGUUACUCUAGAUUUUCGUGUCAAACUCCGUCUUAUAUAGAAUUUUUUUAUAAUUCGUAUUUUCAUUGUUGUUAGAUGAUAAAACAUGAUUAAUAUUUUAUGUGUGACUUGUCUUUUUAAUUUUUUUUCAUAAUUUUUUUAAAUAAGACGGACGGUCAAACGUUGGACACGGAAAUCAGGGUU
rnacentral:pre_miRNA from 1 species